ACACAUGCAAGUCGAGCGGGGAAAGGUAGCUUGCUACAUUUCCUAGCGGCGGACGGGUGAGUAAUGCUUAGGAAUCUGCCUAUUAGUGGGGGACAACAUUCCGAAAGGAAUGCUAAUACCGCAUACGCCCUACGGGGGAAAGCAGGGGAUCUUCGGACCUUGCGCUAAUAGAUGAGCCUAAGUCAGAUUAGCUAGUUGGUGGGGUAAAGGCCUACCAAGGCGACGAUCUGUAGCGGGUCUGAGAGGAUGAUCCGCCACACUGGGACUGAGACACGGCCCAGACUCCUACGGGAGGCAGCAGUGGGGAAUAUUGGACAAUGGGCGAAAGCCUGAUCCAGCCAUGCCGCGUGUGUGAAGAAGGCCUUUUGGUUGUAAAGCACUUUAAGCGAGGAGGAGGCUACCUAGAUUAAUACUCUAGGAUAGUGGACGUUACUCGCAGAAUAAGCACCGGCUAACUCUGUGCCAGCAGCCGCGGUAAUACAGAGGGUGCGAGCGUUAAUCGGAUUUACUGGGCGUAAAGCGUGCGUAGGCGGCUUCUUAAGUCGGAUGUGAAAUCCCUGAGCUUAACUUAGGAAUUGCAUUCGAUACUGGGAAGCUAGAGUAUGGGAGAGGAUGGUAGAAUUCCAGGUGUAGCGGUGAAAUGCGUAGAGAUCUGGAGGAAUACCGAUGGCGAAGGCAGCCAUCUGGCCUAAUACUGACGCUGAGGUACGAAAGCAUGGGGAGCAAACAGGAUUAGAUACCCUGGUAGUCCAUGCCGUAAA
rnacentral:rRNA from 2 species